rnacentral:rRNA from 1 species
UUAAAUUGAAGAGUUUGAUCAUGGCUCAGAUUGAACGCUGGCGGCAGGCCUAACACAUGCAAGUCGAACGGUAACAGGAAGCAGCUUGCUGCUUCGCUGACGAGUGGCGGACGGGUGAGUAAUGAGUGGGGA